UCUACUGAACAAUAAUAUAAAAAUAGUAAACUAAUUAUUGAAGAAAAGUCAGGGUGAUGACUCAUCAUUUCAAGUCAGCUCCACAAGUACUUCAGUGUUUGCCUAUUGUCAACAGGUCACGUCCACAUUUGCUCCAGCUUCGAGACUGUUAUUGAAGUGUUCUUAUCAGGAGCAUACUGUAAGUGGCCUUUCGUUUACACAAUCUUUUUGCAAAUGGAUGAUUUUCAUACAGAAGCAUAAAAAUCUCUCCUUUCUUCUCUGCAAGGUGUCAUCUUAGUGACAUGCUGUAAUUCUGCUCAUUCAGGGGAGCUGAGUGAAAACACAGGGCAAAGAUACCAGUACAUGAGGAACCUAGAUGCUUGCUCUCGAAGUAAACUCAAGGAAGCCACUUUAAGAAUCUCCAGGACUAAAGUACAGAGGACAAUACCUGUCCUCCCUACCCUCGGGAAAGUUUAUUCACUCAGCAACCUAUUGGGAGCAUCUGCUGCAUAUGCAGAGCUCCUUGCUAGGAACUGUGGAAGGCAGCAGCAACAGUUAUUCCAGCUACAGAAGCACGUUUUCCUACGGCGACUGCGAGGGACAGAACAAGGUCAGUCUCCAUGGCUCAAAAUGGGUCCUUUCCUACUCUGAGAGAUACUGAACCUGUGAAAGCACUCUAAAUGUGAAUUAUUCAACUGAAGUUGCUGACGGUGGAACCAUGGGGCUGAGUCAUGUCUGCCCACAGCUGCUGCGUUUUGCAUCCCUGGGCACUGAUGUCUGAAACUCGACCCUGGCAAGGACCA
rnacentral:lncRNA from 1 species